GACGAACGCUGGCGGCGUGCCUAAUACAUGCAAGUAGAACGCUGAAGCUUGGUGCUUGCACCGAGCGGAUGAGUUGCGAACGGGUGAGUAACGCGUAGGUAACCUGCCUGGUAGCGGGGGAUAACUAUUGGAAACGAUAGCUAAUACCGCAUAAGAGUAGAUGUUGCAUGACAUUUGCUUAAAAGGUGCAAUUGCAUCACUACCAGAUGGACCUGCGUUGUAUUAGCUAGUUGGUGAGGUAACGGCCCACCAAGGCAACGAUACAUAGCCGACCUGAGAGGGUGAUCGGCCACACUGGGACUGGGACACGGCCCAGACUCCUACGGGAGGCAGCAGUAGGGAAUCUUCGGCAAUGGACGGAAGGCUGACCGAGCAACGCCGCGUGAGUGAAGAAGGGUUUCGGAUCGUAAAGCUCUGUUGUAAGAGAAGAACGAGUGUGAGAGUGGAAAGUUCACACUGUGACGGUAUCUUACCAGAAAGGGGCGGCUAACUACGUG
rnacentral:rRNA from 1 species